ensembl:lncRNA
UAAAUCCAGCUUGAACAUUUGGAAGGUUUAUUGAAGCCUCGCUUGGAGAAUUUUGAGCAUGACUUUGCUAGCAUAUGAGAUGAGUACAAAUUGAUUCUUCCAAAGACCCACUUGACUUUGCACUCCAGGAUAUCUGGCUCCAGAUUCCCUGGAGGACAAAGUGCCUCACUCUGCCCUGAACUCCCUCAGGGGGUAUUGAAGGUCAUCAGCUUCAGCAGCACGGGGUUCAGUCUCCACAGAAGAAGAUGGUAAAUACCCUUGUUGCUAUUGUUGUUUCAGUUCAGUUCAGUCACUUAGUCGUGUCUGACUCUUUGCCACCCCAUGAAUCGCAG